GGGGUAAGCAACAAGAGAGUUAUAUAGGCAAAUCCGUAUAGCAUAAUCUUGAGUUGUGAUGCAUAGUGAAGACUUCGGUCGAGUAACGAAUUGAAUGAUUUCAUGUUUCCAAGAAAAGCUUCUAGUGUUAAUUUUUUAUCAACCUGUACCGAGAACGAACACACGUUCCCAAGAUGAGUACUCUCAGGCGAGCAAGAAUACCAAUGUGAAAGAACUCUGCAAAAUAACCCCGUAAGUUCGCGAGAAGGGGCGCCUAUUUUUAAUAGGCCACAGAAAAUAGGGGGGGCAACUGUUUAUCAAAAACACAGCUCUCUGCUAAGUUGUAAAACGACGUAUAGAGGGUGAAGCCUGCCCAGUGCCCGAAGGUUAAACGGAGAUGUUAGCUUACGCAAAGCAUUAAAGUGAAGCCCGGGUGAACGGCGGCCGUAACAAUAACGGUCCUAAGGUAGCGAAAUUCCUUGUCAACUAAUUAUUGACCUGCACGAAAGGCGCAAUGAUCUCCCUACUGUCUCAACAUUGGACUCGGUGAAAUUAUGGUACCAGUGAAAACGCUGGUUACCCGCAUCAAGACGAAAAG
rnacentral:rRNA from 1 species